GGGGUACAGCCGGAGGGUCUCAUUGAUGACGCAGUUGAGGUAUGGGAGAUCGGGGAUGUCUUCUUCUUCCGCCAUGCGCCCUUGGCCGAUCUUGGCAUCGAGCUCGGCCCUCACCGCGUGCAGGACUUCAGGGUGGUUGAGCAGGAGGCACAUGGCCCAUUCCAUGGUGACGGCCGACGUGUCUGUUCCAGCUGCCAAUAGUGACUACACAUGAAAAGAGUGUGUAUUAUUUCCUUCUCCUCGUGUCUGCCUCUAUCACAACCCUCCAAUAGGAUCAAAUUCUAUCAUUUGUUAGUAUGUUAUCAUUGGAGGUUGAGGGUCAUAUACUCUUUUUUUUUUUUCUUUUUUUUUAUGGCAGUCAAUAUUUAGUGGGCACGGUAGAAAAUUAACUAAUAAGACUGUUGCUUCAUAUGCCGACUUAAGCCAUGACUAAUAUUUUUAUUAAAGUGAAGCUAAUUAUACAUUAUCCUUCCGUAAUUAAUUAUCUUUACAUAUAAAUUUUUACGUGAUAAUAUUAAGAAUUUUAUAUUUAUAAAAUAAAAUAUCAAUACUUUUAUAUAAAUUUAAAAAUAUAAUUUUAUAAAAUAAAAAAUAAAUAAAAAAUAAAUUUUAUUAGAACAAUGAAUAAUUUUUGAAAUUAUAAAGAUCAAUGUUAAAGAUAACUAAUCCCUCGAAAUGGCGACAGCGAUAAUUCCGCUGCUUGGUGGGAGAUGAACAUAGCCGGUAAUUCGGCUCCGAGACGGGAGGUGACAUAGCCGGUUAAUGACGAAGAAAUAAGAAAGAACACGUACCACGAUAAGGCCCUUAAUUGUGACGUCGGUGUACGUUUCCGGCUCGCUUUCCUGCAAGGACAACAUAACGUCGAUCACCGUUGUCCUCCCCUCGUCUCCUUUCCCCGCCGCCGCCUCUCGGUUGCGGCAACUCUGACGGCGGCGGACGCGAUGACGCUCGAUCAGUUCCCCGAUUAACGCGUCCCUCCUAUGGUGGAGACUCGCGAGCUUCCUCUCAUGCCCACGCCAGCCCAGCCUCCGCAGCGCCGGAAAGAAGUCCGCCACGUUUACCGCCCCGCUCACCGCAAACGUCUCCUCCACCACCUCCCGGAAUCGCUGCCUCUCGUCCGUGGACUCCCCCUCGAUGGCCGUGGCCACCACCCCCAUCAUCACGUCGUACGCGAGAUUGAAGAACCUCGACUUCAUCUCCACCCGCCGCGGGCCGGACGGCCCCGAAUCGCCCCCCUCAAGGAAGAGGGACUUCGCGAGCGACCGGACCGCGCCAGUCCGUGAGUCGGAGGACGAGCGGAGGGCGCCCGUGGAUAAGAGGUGGACGGCGGAUAUGCGGCGGAGGUUGCGCCAGUGGGGACCGUAGGGGGACCAGGCGAUGGUUGUGCAGCCGUAGCCUAGGAUCUGAGCGGCGAGUAGGCGGGGGCGGUUGGCGAAGGCAAGGUCGUGGGCGGUGAAGCACUCUUCCGCGGCGGGAGCGGAGGAGACGAGGAGGACGGGGCGGGAUCCGAGGCGGAGGAGUACGACGGGGCCGCGGGCGGCAGCGAUGGCAGCGAGGGCGCGGUGGAGCGGGGGCUUGGCGAUGAGGUGGAGGUGGCCGAUGAAGGGGAACGAUGGGGGGCUCGGCGGGGGAUUCUUGCGAGCACUCUUCAGCCAUCGCCGUGACAGGGAUGCGAGCAACAGGACGAGGAGAGGGAAAAGAAGAGAAGAGAGGAAAGUGAGAGAGGAGGCGUCGUCGGCCAUACUUGUCCAAAGAUGAGCGGUUUUGCAGGGAUGGGCUGAAACCAAAAUGAUGAAGCAGCCCUGCCUUGUAUCCUCAAGGAUGGGGUUAGGUUAUUGACGUGGGUCCUCCGAGAUCACCGUCUGAUCAACGCCUGGGCAACAGAAGCAUGUCUGAUUUCGUCCCACUUGGAACACAUCUAUUAUCUAAAAAAUCAGAUAUCACCACAAAUGUAUCAUUUUAAAAAAUUAAUUUCACCCUGAUGCAGUCACCGUCUGCCGUGCUUGAAUAUUCUUCGACAAAAAUGAAAAAAAAAAAUUGAACAUUUUCUUGUAAAAAAUCAGUUUGAAUAUAUUUGGAGAAACAGCCUCUAACCAUUCGAUGCAGUGCUUCUUGUAUUGGUAACGAUCAACGUGAGGUGAUGAGAAAAGCUACAGAAAUUACUCGCAAUCUCAGAGUCGAUAACUAAACGCCACUGAAAUAAGCAGGAAUUUUAUAGCUGAUAAGAAAACAUCAAUUGACACGGGAAUGAAAUUAAUUUUUUUUUAAUUUAAAAAAGACCACACCUGUGUUUUUAAAAACCAAAGCGAAUUANNNNNNNNNNNNNNNNNNNNUUGGAAUGACGUUCGAGACAUUGACGAAGCUGUGAAGUCGAAAAUGAAGGGAGAAGCCACCCACAUACGCGCCUCUGGAUGAGGCUAAAUCGUGCACGACGGUAACUGAUAUGGUAUGCCACCGUCUCCGGGUGCCGUUUCCACCACGGCCACCAAAGGCUGGUCCACCCGGACGGCGACCGCCCAUUGCACUCGCAGCAGCUUCACCUUGUCAACUCUCAGACUGAUCUUAUAGUUUAAAAUGGGGUACAAAUAAUCAUCAUUGCUCAAUUCUGUUAGUUGUUCCUUCGACCGUUUAUUUAUUUCUGAACCCUCCUUAUUGUAGUCCAUAAUUUGAUGGAUUUGUCGCAAUGGAUGUAACAUGACACGCAAAUAGGAUGACACUGCAUGUAAAUUACUAGAUUUAUAUGGAGUAAGAUAAUACAAGUAACGGUCAUACCUAUCUCAGCCUGUAAAUUACUAAUUAGGCCACAAACACAGGUUAAGACGCCAACCAACACGAACAAAAGCGUGGAUAACUACAAAAGCCCACGUAUCAGACAACGAACCCACAAGCAGCUUUUGAAUAGGAGGAACGUAUUUGCCAUACUCUUUGCCAAUUCUCAGAGCUGUGAAAGGGCAUGAAGCAUGGUGCGGCGUGGCGUGCACACGACUUCCAAUGGCUUUACCUUGGGCAUGGAUAGCCCCUGCCCUUCAGUCAUGUCCACCUCCUCCCCCGGAAGCUUCUCCCACUCGAAACAGUGGAUCAAGAUCGCGAGUGCCAGGCCGAUCAGUCGAAUGGCGAGGCCUUCCCCGGGGCACUUGCGCCGCCCGGACCCGAACGGAAGCAUCCUAAGCCCUGUCUCCUCCUUCCCUCCCUCGCACUGGAACCUCUCCGGCUUGAACUCCUCGGGUUCGUCCCAUAUGUUAGGGUCCCUGUGGAUGGCCCACGCGUUCGUCAAAAGCAUCGUGCCGCAAGGCACGUCGUAGCCUCCGACGGUGCAGUCCUGGGAAGACUCAUGGGGCACCAGGAGCGGCACAGCGUGGUACAACCGGAGGGUUUCAUUGAUGAUGCAGUUGAGGUAGGGGAGAUUGGGGAUGUCUUCUUCUUCCACCAUCCGCCCUUGGCCGAUCCUGGCAUCGAGCUCGGCCCUCGCCGUGUGCAGGACUUCGGGGUGGAUGAGCAGGAGGCACAUGGCCCAUUCUAUGGUGACGGCCGACGUGUCUGUUCCUGCUGCCAUUAAUUCCUACACAUGAUAGUAGUGUGUGUAUUAUUUACUAUUUAGGAAUUAGUGAAUAGAAAAUAAAUGAUUAUUUACUAAUUCAUAGAACUUAAUUAUUAUUACUAAAAGCAUUAGAGUAGUUUGACAUCACAACUGACUUGUGGCGAGGGAUGUAAUCCCGCUUCUAUUACCGCUCGGCGUCCAUCAGUGCACUUUAGUCGUGAACGGAAGCGAGGCGAGGAACAUAACCGGAAGACUACGAAUAGCGAAGAAACGAGACGUACCACAAUGAGGCCCUUAAUGGUGACGUCGGUGUAAGUUCCCGGAUCGCUUUCCUGAAGAGACAACAUAACGUCGAUCACCGUUGCCCUCCCCUUAUCUCCGUUCCCUACCGCCCCGCCGCCUCUCGGUUGCGGCAACUCUGACGGCGGCGGACGCGAUGACGCUCGAUCAGUUCCCCGAUCAUUCGGACCCGAACCCAGCCGUGUUGGUCCCGAGGCCACGGCUUAAAGUUGUUGACACCAACAGUAGCCACCGACGGUGCAAUGCUGGGAAGACUCAUGGGGUACCAGGAGCGGUCCGGCGGGAUACGGCCGGAGGGUCUCAUUGAUGAUGCAGUUGAGGUAGGGGAGAUUGGGAAUGUCUUCUUCUUCCGCCAUGCGCCCUUGGCCGAUCUUGGCAUCGAGCUCGGCCGUCGCCGCAUGCAGGACUUCAGGGUGGUUGAGCAGGAGGCACAUGGCCCAUCCCAUGGUGACGGCCGACGUGUCUGUUCCUGCUGCCAGUAAUUCCUACACAUGAAAGUAGUGUGUGUCUUAUUUACUAUUUAGGAAUUAGUGAAUACAAAAUAAAUGAUUAUUUACUAAUUCUUAGAACUUAAUUAUU
rnacentral:lncRNA from 1 species